rnacentral:rRNA from 1 species
GACGUAGGGGGCAAGCGUUGUCCGGAAUCAUUGGGCGUAAAGAGCGCGUAGGCGGUCCGGUAAGUCCGUUGUGAAAUCGCUCGGCUCAACUGGGCGGGGUCAGCGGAUACGGCCGCACUCGAGCAAGCUAGGGGGCAAUGGAAUUCCCGGUGUAGUGGUGGAAUGCGUAGAUAUCAGGAGGAACACCAAUGGCGAAGGCAGCUCGCUGGGACGGUACUGACGCUGAGGCGCGAAAGCGUGGGGAGCAAACAGG